UACGUAGGGUGCGAGCGUUGCCCGGAUUUAUUGGGCGUAAAGGGCGCGCAGGCGGCCCGCCGCGUCCCGCGUGAAAGCCCCCGGCUCAACUGGGGGAUGUCGCGGGAAACGGGCGAGCUAGAGCGAGGGAGGGGGCAGUGGAAUUCCCGGUGUAGUGGUGGAAUGCGUAGAGAUCGGGAGGAACACCAGUGGCGAAGGCGACUGCCUGGCCCUCUAGCUGACGCUGAGGCGCGAAAGCGUGGAGAGCGAUCCGG
rnacentral:rRNA from 1 species